ensembl:lncRNA CYP1B1-AS1 CYP1B1 antisense RNA 1
UGAGUGCUUAAAAGAGUAUUGUCUAAGUUGCCACCAGAGUUGGGGAGUUUUAAGAGGUUUAGAAGCCUGGCUGUCAAUACCCACAACAGUUAUGGAGGCAAGGGAAACAGGCCCUUGAAAAGAAGGUAAUGUAGAGUGGGUAGCCUCCGUAUUGAUUAAGAAGGGGACGGACUUACUUUCCACUGUGAGAGUUACGCGAAGCUCGGCGUCUGUGAUGGUCUAGGGGGCUUCCAAGGCAGUCGGGCAGCAUCAGUCUUCAGCCGCUAAGCCAAGAAGAUCUGGGAAGCAGUCAGAGAGCCUUGGGCCAGAGUUCCAGGGGCUCUGGGAGUGGCUGCCAGUCUAUCUUUGUUGAGUUUUGGUAUUGAUUUUAUGUGUCAGUACCUGAGAAGGAGAGAAGUCCUUGAGUUGUUUCGUAAAUGUGGCUCAAGUGAGAUGCUGAACAGUGCCAGCCAUGUGGACUCUGCCACAGUGAAGGAGGAAGGCAGCACUGAGAAGUGAAGGAAUAUUUGGGAGGAUCAGAAGCUUGGUCCUGAUUUUGCCAUCAACAGGAACUUGAUGACUUCAAGGGAGUCCCCAAACCCUGGGUUUCUGUUUUCUCAACUCUAACAUGAGGGGCUAGAUGCAUCUGGUUUAGUUAGUCUCCAUGAUGGUUUAGUUCGUCUCCAUGAUCCUGUGAAUUUCAGAUGUUGAAAAUCUUCGGAAAAGCCCUGAAAGAUGAACAGUGGUCUCAAAUAGUCAAGACCCCCUGCUGGGAGGAGCUUCUAUCCUGCUCU